AUGGAUCUCCCACUCAGUCUGCAGUUAUCCUGCCACCACCUUAUUUGCAGUUACUCUUUCCAGCCCAGAUUUGCACCACAUCUUCUGUUCGUGGAGAAUGAAACAGAAGAGACCAGGAGAAGCAGCAUGUUCAGCCUGUGGUGGUUACGCAGGAGAUGGUUUGGGAACCUGGUUUCCAGGGCACAUUAUCUGUUUGCUCUGAGGUUUCUGCCAAAGAAGAAAGUCUGUCGUUCCAGCAAUACAUUUACAACGAUCAGACCUUGCUGGAGGAAAGUAUUCAUGAAUUGGAAAACUGCCUGAAUUUAUCCUGGAAGAAAGUUCAGAGAAUGGAAACAAAGAGGAUUCUUUUCUCCCUGGAGCAUUUUAGAGCAUGUUAUCCAAUAGAUUCAUCUGGCAAAGUUCAAAAUCGAUAG
rnacentral:lncRNA from 12 species